UUGCCUGUUGUUGAUUAGUGGAGGUUUUUAAUUGAGUUUUUGGGUUGUUUUUAUAGGCUUAGCUGUGCAACCAAUCUUCUUGCUCUCCAAACUCUCUUAUCCUUGAAAGAACUCAACCUUGGCCGAAUUUUGGUGUCAAUUUUCUUUUUCUCUUUAUGCUUGGUUUUUUUGAGUGGAACUUGUCACCAACAAGCUUAGAGAUCCGUACUGAGCUGUAGUUCGCGGGACUUGGUGAACCCAACUCUGUAGCUCGGAGCCAGGAGAAGAUCAAGUUUAGGGACCUGGGGGUGUCGGGAGAGUAGUAUUGUCUGCGUUAUCG